UACGUAGGUGGCAAGCGUUGUCCGGAUUUACUGGGCGUAAAGAGCGCGCAGGCGGUCGUUCAAGUCGCGUGUGAAAGCCCCCGGCUCAACUGGGGAGGGUCACGCGAUACUGAUCGACUCGAAGGCAGGAGAGGGAAGUGGAAUUCCCGGUGUAGCGGUGAAAUGCGUAGAUAUCGGAAGGAACACCAGUGGCGAAAGCGGCUUCCUGGUCCAGCACCGACGUUCAGGCACGAAAGCGUGGGGAGCAAACAGG
rnacentral:rRNA from 1 species